rnacentral:ribozyme from 1 species
GUUACUCAAUCAAGACAACCUCUGCGCGGUGAGUGACAGGCAACGGAUACAAUGUAUCCGGCAAAUCGUCUUA